rnacentral:rRNA from 1 species
GAUGAACGCUGGCGGCGUGCCUAAUACAUGCAAGUCGAGCGAACGGACGAGAAGCUUGCUUCUCUGAUGUUAGCGGCGGACGGGUGAGUAACACGUGGAUAACCUACCUAUAAGACUGGGAUAACUUCGGGAAACCGGAGCUAAUACCGGAUGAUAUUUUGAACCGCAUGGUUCAAAAGUGAAAGACGGUCUUGCUGUCACUUAUAGAUGGAUCCGCGCUGCAUUAGCUAGUUGGUAAGGUAACGGCUUACCAAGGCAACGAUGCAUAGCCGACCUGAGAGGGGGAUCGGCAAACCUGAACCGGAGCACCGGUCCAGACUCCUCCGGGAGGCAGCAUUGGGGAAUCUCCGGCAUGGGGCGAAAGCUUGCCGGAGAACCGCGGCGUGAGGGAUGAAGGCCUCCGGAUCGUAAACCUUUGUUAUUGGGAAAGAAAAUAUGUGUAAGUAACAGUGACGAUUUUGACGGAACCAAAUCAGAAAGCCACGGCUAACUACGU